rnacentral:rRNA from 1 species
AUUGAACGCUGGCGGCAGGCUUAACACAUGCAAGUCGAGCGGAGAUGAGGUGCUUGCACCUUAUCUUAGCGGCGGACGGGUGAGUAAUGCUUAGGAAUCUGCCUAUUAGUGGGGGACAACAUUCCGAAAGGAAUGCUAAUACCGCAUACGUCCUACGGGAGAAAGCAGGGGAUCUUCGGACCUUGCGCUAAUAGAUGGGCCUAAGUCGGAUUAGCUAGUUGGUGGGGUAAAGGCCUACCAAGGCGACGAUCUGUAGCGGGUCUGAGAGGAUGAUCCGCCACACUGGGACUGGGACACGGCCCAGACUCCUACGGGAGGCAGCAGUGGGGAAUAUUGGACAAUGGGGGGAACCCUGAUCCAGCCAUGCCGCGUGUGUGAAGAAGGCCUUAUGGUUGUAAAGCACUUUAAGCGAGGAGGAGGCUACUGAGACCAAUACUCUUGGAUAGUGGACGUUACUCGCAGAAUAAGCACCGGCUAACUCUGUGCCAGCAGCCGCGGUAAUACAGAGGGUGCGAGCGUUAAUCGGAUUUACUGGGCGUAAAGCGUGCGUAGGCGGCUUUUUAAGUCGGAUGUGAAAUCCCCGAGCUUAACUUGGGAAUUGCAUUCGAUACUGGGAAGCUAGAGUAUGGGAGAGGAUGGUAGAAUUCCAGGUGUAGCGGUGAAAUGCGUAGAGAUCUGGAGGAAUACCGAUGGCGAAGGCAGCCAUCUGGCCUAAUACUGACGCUGAGGUACGAAAGCAUGGGGAGCAAACAGGAUUAGAUACCCUGGUAGUCCAUGCCGUAAACGAUGUCUACUAGCCGUUGGGGCCUUUGAGGCUUUAGUGGCGCAGCUAACGCGAUAAGUAGACCGCCUGGGGAGUACGGUCGCAAGACUAAAACUCAAAUGAAUUGACGGGGGCCCGCACAAGCGGUGGAGCAUGUGGUUUAAUUCGAUGCAACGCGAAGAACCUUACCUGGCCUUGACAUACUAGAAACUUUCCAGAGAUGGAUUGGUGCCUUCGGGAAUCUAGAUACAGGUGCUGCAUGGCUGUCGUCAGCUCGUGUCGUGAGAUGUUGGGUUAAGUCCCGCAACGAGCGCAACCCUUUUCCUUACUUGCCAGCAUUUCGGAUGGGAACUUUAAGGAUACUGCCAGUGACAAACUGGAGGAAGGCGGGGACGACGUCAAGUCAUCAUGGCCCUUACGGCCAGGGCUACACACGUGCUACAAUGGUCGGUACAAAGGGUUGCUACACAGCGAUGUGAUGCUAAUCUCAAAAAGCCGAUCGUAGUCCGGAUUGGAGUCUGCAACUCGACUCCAUGAAGUCGGAAUCGCUAGUAAUCGCGGAUCAGAAUGCCGCGGUGAAUACGUUCCCGGGCCU